AAACAGGUAAGCUAACAAGCUUUUGGGUUCAUACCCCAACUAUGAAGGUCCCACUCCUUCCCUUUUUA
rnacentral:tRNA from 1 species